CUACGAUAAAAGCAAACCAUUGGAAACGAUGGGACGCAAAGCCACGGACCUUCUCCAUAUCUGGAUGGUAGCCGAGUUGCCGAA
rnacentral:ncRNA from 1 species